GCAGUUGAGCGCUGAGGUUGGUACUUGUACCGACUGGAUGAGCAGCGAACGGGUGAGUAACGCGUGGGGAAUCUGCCUUUGAGCGGGGGACAACAUUUGGAAACGAAUGCUAAUACCGCAUAAAAACUUUAAACACAAGUUUUAAGUUUGAAAGAUGCAAUUGCAUCACUCAAAGAUGAUCCCGCGUUGUAUUAGCUAGUUGGUGAGGUAAAGGCUCACCAAGGCGAUGAUACAUAGCCGACCUGAGAGGGUGAUCGGCCACAUUGGGACUGAGACACGGCCCAAACUCCUACGGGAGGCAGCAGUAGGGAAUCUUCGGCAAUGGACGAAAGUCUGACCGAGCAACGCCGCGUGAGUGAAGAAGGUUUUCGGAUCGUAAAACUCUGUUGGUAGAGAAGAACGUUGGUGAGAGUGGAAAGCUCAUCAAGUGACGGUAACUACCCAGAAAGGGACGGCUAACUACGUGCCAGCAGCCGCGGUAAUACGUAGGUCCCGAGCGUUGUCCGGAUUUAUUGGGCGUAAAGCGAGCGCAGGUGGUUUAUUAAGUCUGGUGUAAAAGGCAGUGGCUCAACCAUUGUAUGCAUUGGAAACUGGUAGACUUGAGUGCAGGAGAGGAGAGUGGAAUUCCAUGUGUAGCGGUGAAAUGCGUAGAUAUAUGGAGGAACACCGGUGGCGAAAGCGGCUCUCUGGCCUGUAACUGACACUGAGGCUCGAAAGCGUGGGGAGCAAACAGGAUUAGAUACCCUGGUAGUCCACGCCGU
rnacentral:rRNA from 1 species